GGACUGAUUUUCUGGUAAUCCAAACAGAAUCUUGAUUUGGGCCUGAACCCCAAAAUGAGUUCAUGAGCGAGCAAAUGGGCCUUCGUGGCAUUUUUGUGCCCAUAUUUUCCACUUUGGAACAACUGACUCAGAACAUGUGGACACCUCAAAAAGCUUAUCUUCCAUUCCACACCAACAUAUAUAAACCUCAAUUUGAAAAUCAAAGAUAAUCAGACAGACGGAGAUAGAGAGCAACAGCCAUGGAAGGCUUGAAGCUCGGACACACUCUGCAGAAUAGCCAUGGCUUGAACCUUCUUGUCCAAAUUCCAAAUUCAAGCUUAGUUUCCAGACCAUCUUUCCCAAUUCAACCCAAAUGCAACCUGGCUCUUUCCACAGGUUGCCGGGUUUAUGCUGGCUCUAUAAUCAGAAAACUAGCCCUCAUUUCUCCCAGUGGUUUGCCCUGUGGACAUUCCAAUCUGAAGCAAACAAGGGAAGUACGAUUUACCACAAGAAGCACAUCAGCAUCAAUACAGCCUAUGACUGAGGAACUGGUAGAGGACAAGUCCAAGGAUCUCCCAACAAGUGGUGAUUCUAUACGGCACCGAUUUCUCGAUUUCUAUGCUUCUCGUGGGCACAAGGUUCUUCCAAGUUCUUCUCUUGUGCCAGAUGAUCCCACAGUUCUACUGACAAUUGCAGGAAUGCUUCAAUUCAAGCCUAUAUUCCUUGGAAAGGUUCCCAGACAAGUACCUCGUGCUACAACUGCUCAAAGGUGCAUACGUACCAAUGAUGUGGAGAACGUAGGUAAAACAUCUCGACACCAUACUUUCUUUGAGAUGCUUGGGAACUUCAGCUUUGGAGAUUACUUCAAGAAGGAAGCAAUUAAAUGGGCAUGGGAGCUUUCAACAAUAGAGUAUGGAUUGCCAGCUGACAGAUUAUGGAUUAGUGUUUAUGAAGAUGAUGAUGAAGCUUUAGCAAUAUGGACCAAAGAGGUGGGUGUUCCUGUGGAGCGCAUAAAGAGGAUGGGUGCUGAGGACAACUUCUGGACCAGUGGAGUGACUGGUCCCUGUGGUCCAUGCUCUGAGAUUUAUUACGAUUUCCAUCCUGAGCGGGGAUAUUCGGAUGUUGAUCUAGGUGAUGACACUAGGUUUAUAGAGUUUUACAACCUGGUUUUCAUGCAAUACAACAAAAAAGAUGAUGGAUCACUGGAACCCCUCAAACAGAUGAAUAUAGAUACUGGGCUUGGCCUAGAGCGUAUGGCUCGCAUCCUUCAGAAGGUUCCAAACAAUUACGAGACUGACUUAAUUUAUCCUAUCAUAGAGAAAGCCUCAGAAUUGGCAAAUGUCUCGUAUGCUCUUGCUGAUGAUCAUGCAAAAAUGAACCUUAAGGUUAUUGGAGAUCAUUUGCGUGCAAUUGUUUAUCUCAUAUCAGAUGGUGUUGUUCCAUCAAAUAUUGGAAGAGGUUAUGUGGCUCGGCGGCUUAUCAGAAGAGCUGUUCGAACUGGAAGGUUACUUGGUAUAAAGGGAGAUGGUAGGGGGAACCCUGAAGGGGCAUUUUUACCAACCAUUGCAGAAAAAGUAAUAGAGUUAAGUAGCCAAAUAGAUCCCGAUGUAAAGAGUAGAGCACCUCGCAUUCUUGAGGAGUUGAAAAGGGAGGAGUUGCGUUUUGUACAGACACUAGAGAGAGGAGAAAAGUUGCUUGAUGAAAUGCUGGCUAAUGCAUUAUUAAAUUCUAAUGAAAAUGGAAACGGGCCUAUUUUGUCAGGAAAAGAUGUAUUUCUUUUGUAUGACACUUAUGGGUUUCCAGUGGAGAUAACAACAGAAGCUGCUGAAGAACGUGGGGUUGGUAUAGAUAUGAAUGGUUUUGAAAUUGAAAUGGAGAACCAAAGGCGGCAAUCUCAGGCUGCGCAUAAUGCUGUUAAACUGGCAGUUGGAAAUAGUGCAGAUCUUACUGAAAAUAUUUCUGACACUGAAUUUCUAGGAUAUGAAACCCUCUCUACCAAAGCAGUAAUUGAAGGCCUCUUGGUGAAUGGGAACCCAGUGAUCCAAGUUUCCGAAGGAAGUGAUGUAGAAAUUUUUCUGAAUAGGACACCAUUUUAUGCUGAAUCAGGUGGUCAAAUUGGAGAUCACGGUUUCUUAUAUGUAAAUGAAGAUAGAAACCAAAAAAAUGCUGUUGUUGAGAUAAAAGAUGUCCAGAAAUCUCUGGGUAACAUAUUUGUUCAUAAGGGCACUAUCAAGGAAGGAGUUGUAGAGGUUGGCAAAGAAGUAGAAGCUGCAGUAGAUGCAAACCUGAGGCAACGGGCUAAGAUUCAUCAUACAGCUACUCAUUUGCUACAAGCUGCACUUAAAAAAGUUAUAGGUGAUGAAACAUCACAAGCUGGUUCACUGGUGGCUUUCGAUCGUCUCAGGUUUGACUUUAACUUCCACCGACCACUUCAGGAGAAGGAGCUUGUGGAAAUUGAAGAAUUGAUCAAUGGAUGGAUUGGGGAUGCAACACUGCUCCAGACUAAAGUGAUGCCUCUAGCUGAUGCAAAAAGAGCUGGAGCUAUUGCAAUGUUUGGAGAAAAAUAUGGUGAACAGGUACGUGUUGUAGAGGUUCCAGGUGUAUCCAUGGAGCUAUGUGGUGGGACCCAUGUCAGCAAUACUUGUGAAAUACGUGGCUUCAAAAUAAUCUCAGAACAGGGUAUUGCAUCUGGGAUCAGGCGUAUUGAAGCUGUUGCUGGGGAUGCUUUCAUCGAAUAUGUCAAUGCUAGAGAUAAUCACAUGAGACAACUAUGCUCCACUCUGAAAGUGAAAGCUGAAGAAGUGACUACUAGGGUAGAAGCUCUCUUGGAGGAGUUACGGAUGACAAGAAAUGAAGUUUCUGCUGUUCGUGCAAAAGCAGCAGUAUACAAAGCAUCAGUUAUGGCAGGCAAUGCAUUCCCAGUGGGGACUUCAAAAAAAAUCAGGGUACUAGUUGAGAGUAUGGAUGAUAUUGAUGCGGAUUCACUAAAGAGUGCAGCUGAAUACCUCAUUGAUACGCUACAAGAUCCUGCAGCUGUCAUUUUGGGCUCAUGUCCUAGUGAAGAGAAGGUAAGUUUGGUUGCAGCAUUCACCCCAGGGGUUGUUGAUCUAGGAAUUCAAGCAGGGAAGUUUAUAGGGCCCAUAGCUAAGUUGUGUGGUGGAGGAGGAGGUGGCAGACCUAAUUUUGCUCAGGCAGGUGGAAGGAAGCCUGAGAAUUUGUCAGGUGCUCUAGAAAAAGCUCGAGAAGAGCUUGUUGCCAUUCUAUCUGAAAAAGCAAGCUGAAAUCAGUUAUAGUCUAUUGGCAUGAAAUUUCUACUUGGAGUCAAGUACCCAAGACCAUACUUGCUUCAGAAAGAUUCAGAGAAUUCUACUGCAGUAGCUGCAAAGAGAAGCCCUGGAGUUGAGAUAUGUUCUUCAAACUAUUUGUUGUCAAUUCUAGGAGGUGAUGUCUUACCAGUGCUGGAUGAUAUGGUGGUUGUAACCGAGGAUCUUGCUGAUAUAAUUUAGGGGGUUGUUACAACAUUAUCUAGCUGGACAAAUGGCUUGAAUUCUUCUCUUUCGAAUGUGAAAACACCCUGUUCAGCUUUACUAUUUUUCGAUGUUGGAUUGUUAACUUCUUCAGGAUGAGUCAUUUCAGGGACAAAAAUUUAGCUGGUGGGCGCCAGCUCUAUUGUCUUUGGCAGGUAUAUGUUGAUUGGGUAUACUCUCAUCGACAGAGAGUUUUCCUUAUUGGCCAUGUUUGAUGCUGCAAUGGUUGUUGCCAUAUUUCAGAUUUUCCCAAGGUUUCUUCUGUAUUCCUGACAACCAAACAAAGGAUUACAGAUCAGCUCUAACUUCCAUUGUGCUCAGCCAACAAAAAGCGCAAGCCAUGGGGUCAGGGACUAUGGGCAGCUGGAUUCAAUAUGGUUGAAAUUCAUGAUGUUUGUGGGCGGUGGCAUACACCUAGGACAAAGCCAUAAUGCAGAAUGCUACAAUGAUAAAUCGAUGGCUACCCAAAUUUGACCUGAAAAUUGGUGGUGGAUCCUCAAGAAACCUAUGCUGUUGGCAUGCAAUUAAUCCGUGGUCCUCGGGCGCGGACCAUCGAUCAUUCAAAGACAGUCCUACCCCUACAGGAAUGACGAUAUGAUCUCAAUGCAUGGUUAUUUUCGGGUUUUCGUAGUCCCUAACAGUGAGACUAGGCAUGGGGCAAGAAACAGAAGGUUCUCUUAUUCCAUAGCCAACUCUAGCUGUUGUGUUUUGGCAUUAUUCUUACUUGAUGAGUCGGAUUUGGAAGACUUUGUUCUUA